CGAACUCAGAGGGUCAAGGGCCGGUCAAUGUGCACAUGCAUGUUCGUUCUCCUCUGGCAGCUGUGUUAAGGCCUCAAUCCGGAUAAAACAAAAGCAAUAAUGUAUGUAGGUCUUCCCGAAGCAGCGGUUCAGAAUGAUCCCACACUGUGAGCAAUUCUGCCAAGAAACAGAGAUGGCAGUAGUACCUCACAUUUGGGACAGCGGGGUGGGGGGCGCCCACCCACUCACCCACUUGCUGAAUCCCUCUGUAGGUCUGGAGAAUCACAGCUUUCGUAAAUACCCUCCUCGUGAAAAUAUGAAUAUGCACAACACAGAGCUUUUUUGGCCAAUGGCCAGGAAGACCUGCAAGAUGCCUGAAGUAGGACCAGAAAAGCCCUGUACAUGGCCUCUUCAGUAGAGGGAAAAGCUGGGAGUUUGGCAUCCUCAACAACUCCCAUAUGACCACAUGGCAAGACAACUACUUCAGGUAUCUUCUCAAGAGCCAGAAAUGUUUUUCAGCAAAGCUAUUUUCAACAGGACGAGGCACACUAUGAAGAGUCUCUCUCCUUGUCAAUAACUGAAGACAUUAAACGUGUGAAAUGCCAGCCAAAUCCAGUGAUCAACCAGGCACUGACUGAGCUUACUUUGUGAAAUAGUAGCCCACAAGGUCCAAACAAGACUGCUGUUUUUAAAAAAAAAAAUAUUAAUUUAUUUUUUUACAUUCCAAUCCCAGUUCCCCUUUCCUUCUCUCUUCCUACUCCCCCCGACCCCGCGCCCCUCCUCCCAUCUGCUCCAUGGAGAGGAGAGGGUAAGACCUCUCCUAGAAAGUCUUCUAAGUCUGUCCCAUUAUUUCCUUGAGGCAGGACCAAGGCACCUCUCUGUAGGGGACACAGUAACCACACCUGCUAGGGGCUGGCUACAGGUGACAUAGGGAAGGUUUAAGAGUGAGGGAUGCACACGUGGAAGCCCCUUCUUUCUUUUCAUCAUCGGCUUGCUGUACUUACUCUGUGCCCUGCCAGCUGGCUAGGUCGCUCUGUAAGUAAGGCAUCCCCCUAAUAAAUACCCUUAUAUUUUUACCUGACUCUGUACUGGUAAUUCCCACAUUACCUCCCCAAGCCCACACCCCUGUGUCUAGGCUAAGCAAGGUAUCUCUCCAUAUGGAAUGGGCUCCACUAAGUCAGUUUGCGCAUUAGUGUUAGAUCUUGGACCCACCGCCCGUGACCUCAUAUAUUGUCCCAGUCGCACCAUUGUGUCUUUGAGUCUUGUUUUGACAGACCGGCAGGUACCCACCCUGUGCUGUGGCAUCUGCAACAUAUUCUUUUAUGAUGAUAUGAGAAGGCUGUGUUGAAUCUUCUGAUGGUUCAGAGGCCAAGCAAGACCCCUUCUCUGUUUCCUCAGAGAAAUCUGGAGAGGAGAGAGAUGGUGACACAAAAUGAGGCCCAAAUAAAGCAGAUGGGAAGGCUCUACUAAAUGGUUACCCUCAUUUCAUUCAGGUAGGAUUGAGACUGAGGCUCCCCAAACAAAAUCUUAAUGAACAGGAGAGGUCUUGAAAAAUGCCUAUUGAGACUCGGGAAUGUAGAGAGAAAACUUACCAAGCUUACCAGUAUCACACAGUUGUAGAGUCAGGAAGACUAGAUGAUUGAAAUGUGAUAAAGAUGACUGUGAAGGAGAAGUACCCCAGAUAAAUGGAAGAGAUGAUGAGGAACUGAUGAAUGAACUUCUUUUAACUAAGAGUUGCCACACAUAAGGUUUUUCACAACAAAGAGCAAUGCUUAAAGCCAGAAUUCAAGUGCUGCUGGCUUCCUUUGUCCUGGCAUCUGGAAGGAAAGGAAGAAGGCCCAGGCAAAAGAGUAAGGAGAGACAUUCAGAAGACUCAGAAGCCAACACAACAAGGUUCAGGAAACUGAAUGCUUAGAGACUAGAGAGGCCUGUGUCUGUUCCUGAGUGGUGCUGAUGGAAAACGAUGAAGAUCCUGUUGAAGUCCUCAAUCCUGUGUACCUAUGUGAAGGAGAUAAGAUAAUAACCCUUCAAAAUAAUCCUGUUUGAAACAGAAACAUGGAGGCCUCCGUCUUGAACCUAUGUAUCUUCCUCUGAGAAAUCAUGCAAAAGAUUUUCCCCUGGGACAAGAGGGAAAUGGUCUGUGAAAGAAAGAACCUUCUACCUUCCAAGAUGCUGGCUUGUCAAUAGUUUUCAUGACCCACCCUCUCUCCCUAACUUCUUCCACCACUGUUAUUCAUCACUUCAUUCAUAGACUGAGUAGUCAACAGUGACGUGAAUCUUCUGGGAAUACACUGGUUUUUCCCCACGCUUGUAUUUAAUAAACAUGCCCGUGGCUUAGCAUGGGUAAAUCUGAACAGC
rnacentral:lncRNA from 1 species